rnacentral:tRNA from 1 species
GCCCAUGUGGCUCAGUGGUAGAGCACCCCCUUGGUAAGGGGGAGGUCGGCAGUUCGAUCCUGCCCAUGGGCGCCA